rnacentral:lncRNA from 1 species
CAACAACAAAAACCACCACCACCACCAAAACAAGCAAAAAAACAAACAAAGCCAAUCAGCAUCAAUAAAUAAAUAUACUUUGAGGAAAGAUGUAAAAAAAAGACAAGGCAAACCCACAUUCACAGAAAUAGAUUUAUGGCACUAUUGUUUCUUUGACUGUAUGUCAUUGUUAAACGAGCACGUCCCUUUGCUUUGCUGCACCUCUCCCCCUGCCCUGAAUGCCACACUUUAGUUCCUUUCCCAAAGGAAAUUGAAAGUGUGUCUGGCUCCACCUGAGAGAGAAGAGGCCAAAGGUUUGACGGACACCUCACCUCACCCCCACAGACGACUAUUUUUUUUUUUUUUUGAGAGUACACCUUCAAAGCCGGUGUCUCUCAGAAGUUUUGUGUCACUGUGGUCCAGUUCUCAGGCCAGGCUGCGGGGGGCUGCUGGGACCAAAGGAGCCCGUGAAAGGAAGGUGUAGAGGAAUAAAUAAAUCGAGGAGUUUCAGCCUGCAACAGAUUAGGACAGUGACCUGACCGAGCCCACAGACCGUGGGGUGUGGGAAGGAGAGGAACUGGAGAUAUGGCUAACAGAGGGAGACUGUGAUCACUUCUGUACUGGGAGAUGGGAUGUCUUUCAUCUAUGUCUGGAGAGGAAGCAGAUGUAUAUUGUCAGCAGUCCCCAGACAGCGGCAUUGUGGUCAGGGUGAACUCAGAUACUGGGAAUCCUGGAGGAAUGCACACAGUGCAGCCUGCUUUGAUGCCACUUGACGACGAGAGCACCACGUCCUUCCUCCACCAGCAUAGCUCUGUUCUGUCAGCUCCUGCCUCCCUCCUUGUGGGGUUCCAGCACUUCAAUCAGUAACUGAGUGCUUCUCUGCUUUUCCUGGCCUUUCCUGGCUUUUUCAUCCUUUGCAAGCUUGUCUGCUGUAGGCCCAAGUCAGAGCCUGAUAGCUGUCUACAACUCCUCCCCCUCCACCUUGGGUUGUGGUUGCUGUCGUGGUUUUAAUUGGGUGGGUGGCCGAGCUCCACCACAACCAUUCUCUCACUCCCCCUCCUCAAAGAAGAACAGGGAGAAAAUAUAAUGAAAAGGGCUCAAGGGUUGAGAUAAGGACAGGGAAAUUGCACAGUAAUUAUCGUGAUGGGCAAAACAGACUCAGCAUAGGGAGACAGUAAGAUUUAUUGCUAAUUACUAACAAGCUAGAGAAGUCAGAAACAAAGGAAAGAAACCAAAAGCACCUUCCCCCCAUCCACCCUCUUCCACCUCCUCCCCCCGAGUGGCGCAGGGGAAGGGGGAAUGGGGGUUAUGGUCAGUCUAUAGCACUGCUUCUCUGCCACUCCUUAUCGGUCACUCUCGUGCCCUGUGCUGUGGGGUCCCUCCCACGGGAUGCAGUCCUUGCUGAACUGAUAUUGCAUGGGCUGCCGACAGGCAGC